AGUGUUUGGAUCCAGUUAUUUCUCAAAUCAAGCUAAUCUCGAUUCGGAGUUUAAUGAUUUAAGCAACUUGCAUGAUUUUACAGUUAAUAAUCAACUUGUUACAAAGAUUGUUAUGGAGCUGUCGUCUUUAGAAAAGAUCAACAGCGAGUAUUACCUAUCCGAUUCAAAAAUAACGUUUUUAGCUCCAAACGGAAGGGAAUUAAAUGUAGAGAUGACUAAAGGAAUGCCGUUUGCUGGAUUGACGCCUUUAAAUACUACAGAAAUUGCGAGUAUAGAAGGGCCAAAAGUUUUUAAGUUACUAAAAAUGAAUCCUUGAAAGCUUCAUUAAAACUGCAUAAUGCAAACAUGA